UACGUAGGGGGCAAGCGUUGUCCGGAAUCAUUGGGCGUAAAGCGCGUGUAGGCGGUUCGGUAAGUCGGCUGUGAAAGUCCAGGGCUCAACCCUGGGAUGCCGGUCGAUACUGCCGGACUAGAGUUCGGAAGAGGCGAGUGGAAUUCCCGGUGGAGCGGUGAAAUGCAUUGAGAUCGGAAAGAACACCAACGGCGAAAGCACUCUGCUGGGCCGACACUGACACUGAGAGACGAAAGCUAGGGGAGCAAAUGGG
rnacentral:rRNA from 1 species